rnacentral:tRNA from 1 species
GGGGCUGUGGCGUAAUUGGUAGCGCGUGGUAAGUUCCAAAUUACACUAAACAGUUCAAUCAACAUUGUCUAACAAUGUAACAGAGACUCCAGAUCUUAAGGUUAUCCGUUCAAGUCGGGUCAGCCUCA